CAGCCGGAAAUGUUAGGAUUUGUACAGGAUGAUGUACUGCAAAGCAGGAUCUUGACUUCCAGGAAGAUCCCGACCUUGGAGCAUUUGCACAUCACUAGAGAGCCCUCUACGGCUUGAGGUCAUAGUACACAACUGCCAGGUACUUUUAGCAGCAUCACAAAGUUGGUUCCCAAGUACAGACUCAGGAUGAGGAGGCAGGGUGAGUCCUGGCCAGUCCGAUAUCCUCUGUCACUUUGAGAACAAGCUUGCUGGCCCCUGAAAGAUGCUGCAGUCCCUGGGCGAAGAUAGGCUCUGAGAGCAAUUUGGACUGUGUAGGACCCUGGCCUCACAGGGCCCCUCCUCUUUGCAUGACCGGCCUUAUGUCACUCAUCCACCAGAGGAGAGAGAGGACACAGUUCGGGAGAAGUUACCAUGUUCCCUCCAUACCUGAUUGUGGAACAUUCCUCCGAGCUCAGAGACACUUCCCAGCAGCUGGAGAAGUCUCGUGGACCACUGGAAACUCAGGAGAGUCCCUUGACUUUAUGGAAGACCCUAUUGAAUACGCAGAAAAUGGAAGUGGAAUGGUCCAAAUCCACAGAGACGAACUCCCGUGCCAUCUGUAGAAUCGUUGACCCAGAACCUGGUGGUCCAGUGUCAUCACAAGAUCCCUGUAAAGAGGACGUCAGAGGAGUAUUUGAUUACAAGAUGCUGAGCUGCUCGUUUUGAUCAUCAAGGAAGGGGCCACAAGCUCAGGAUGGCAGAUGCCUCCAGAAGAAACCAGCCUGCGGAUCCCUUGAUUAUAGAGCUUUGGGCUUUAAAACGGACUGUUUGAGCAUCUCCCUAAGAGACUGCAAACUCCAGGAAAGAAGAACUCAAGCGUCUUGGGCUCACCUCCCAAAAGGGAGCAGAAUUUCUACCUGCUGCCCCAUCUGGCUCGAUCCGUGAGAAAGCAGAUGGAGGAGGGUUGCCGUGUCAGCGGUCAGGUGCGAUCCCACACCUCUGCAGGGUUCCCCUCUCGUUGCCAACAUCCUGGCAUGUGGAACACAGUGCAGGGAUUCAGAUGCACUGUGGCUUACGUUCCAGGGACAUGAACCAAGGGACUCGAACACAGGAAGCAGUGCCGCUUGAGGAUGUCAGGGCAGCGCCGACAGCCUUUCGUAAGUCAAGGAUUCAGCAGUGCCUGUCACAAACCUUUCCUUGUCUCUGAUUGCCUGAGAUUUUUGUCACGAGAUGUCUGUGAUCCUGAUGAGUCACUAGGGACGUGAAAUCAUAACUAGAAGAAACGCCACCAAUGAAACAACGUGUCCCAGCUCAGCGUAUGUGGUCGACCCUUCCUGACAGAACCGCAGAACGGACGAGCUGCCUGUGUUAUCCUGACAUAAAUAUGGACCCCAGGAGAAACCAGCUCUUUGGACCCACGCUCAGCUCAUCCACGGGUGUGGAAGAAAGAUGAGAACGAGGUUCAGACCUGCAGGCUGGCUCAGUGUCCACGAGGACGGAUGUCCCCCUCACCAAGCACCGUAGGGGGGCAUACAGUCAUCAGUGAAGGGCUUCCGAGAAGCAUGAAAACCCCCAUGGAUGGAGCCCCGGGAACGGACAUGAGGACGAAGGUGGGCUCUGUGAAACAGAGGUGUGAUCUAACUCACUGUGACACGACAGCAUCCAGCUGGUCCAUCAGGACGGUCUUCAGUGAUGGGGUCCCGAGGAGGAGGCUUAAGGAAAGUGGUACGUGUUUUUCAACGUCUUUAGUCUGAAGGGCAGCAGCCUCGCAGAAGGUAAUAUUCAUGUCCACAUUA